UCGGGAAUUUUGGGCAAUGGGCGAAAGCCUGACCCAGCAACGCCGCGUGAGGGAUGAAGUAUUUCGGUAUGUAAACCUCGAAAGAAUGGGAAGAAUAAAUGACGGUACCAUUUAUAAGCUCCGGCUAACUACGUGCCAGCAGCCGCGGUAAUACGUAGGGGGCGAGCGUUGUCCGGAUUUACUGGGUGUAAAGGGCGCGCAGGCGGGAUAAAAAGUCAGUGGUGAAAUCCUACAGCUUAACUGUAGAACUGCCUUUGAUACUUUUAUUCUUGAGUUCGGGAGAGAGAGACGGAAUUCCAGGUGUAGUGGUGAAAUACGUAGAUAUCUGGAAGAACACCAGUUGCGAAGGCGGUCUCUUGGUCCGACACUGACGCUGAGGCGCGAAAGCGUGGGGAGCAAACA
rnacentral:rRNA from 1 species